rnacentral:tRNA from 2 species
GCGGACGUGGUGAAAUUGGUAGACACGCUGGAUUUAGGUUCCAGUGCCGCAAGGUGUGCGAGUUCGAGUCUCGCCGUCCGCACCA